ACGAACGCUGGCGGCGUGCUUAACACAUGCAAGUCGAGCGGUAAGGCCCUUUCGGGGGUACACGAGCGGCGAACGGGUGAGUAACACGUGGGUGACCUGCCCUCAGCUCUGGGAUAAGCCUGGGAAACCGGGUCUAAUACUGGAUAUGACUCCAUGACGCAUGUUGUGGGGUGGAGAGCCUUGUGCGGCUGAGGAUGGGCCCGCGGCCUAUCAGCUUGUUGGUGGGGGGAU
rnacentral:rRNA from 1 species